rnacentral:tRNA from 1 species
GUUAGGGUGGCAGAACCUGGCCAUGCAAAAGAUCUAAGCUCUUUGAAUAGAGGUUCAAGUCCUCUCCCUAACU